rnacentral:lncRNA from 1 species
CAGUAUUUGGAAUCGACUCUUUAGUCCCCCGUCCGCCGUGUGCGCGCACCAGCAUCCAUAAUUCCAUAUCCGUUGCAGCGGUAGGCCAGAAGUUGCAAGGUGGCAAAUGGGGACGAAAAAUGGUUGGCGAUCGAGGGAGAGUAAAAAGGGUUGGGUGGCAUGGGAAUUGCCUGCGUCAAGGAAGAAGCAUCAACAUUAGCUCUGUCAGCAACCGGGAUCACCAGGCUUCCCAGCCGGAUCACAUCAGAAGACUGCAACACCUCUAAGGCGGGAUCAGGGCUAGGUUGUGCGUGUUCACGUUGAGAGGAUGAGAAGCAGGGUCUUCGGAUCCUCCAUCUCUU